rnacentral:rRNA from 1 species
AUUGAACGCUGGCGGCGUGCCUAACACAUGCAAGUCGCACGCGAAAGGGGGCAACCCCAAGUAGAGUGGCGGACGGGUGAGUAACGCGUAGGAAUCUACCUAGUAGUGGGGGACAACCCGGCGAAAGCCGGGCUAACACCGCAUACGACCUAAGGGUGAAAGCAGGGGAUCGCAAGACCUUGCGCUAUUAGAUGAGCCUGCGUCCGAUUAGCUAGUUGGUGAGGUAACGGCUCACCAAGGCGACGAUCGGUAACUGGUUUGAGAGAACGACCAGUCACAUUGGGACUGAGACACGGCCCAAACUCCUACGGGAGGCAGCAGGGGGGAAUAUUGGACAAUGGGGGCAACCCUGAUCCAGCGACGCCGCGUGUGUGAAGAAGGCCUUCGGGUUGUAAAGCACUUUCGGCAGGGACAAACAAGACGGAGCUAACAUCUCCGUUCCUGAUGGUACCUGAAGAAGAAGCACCGGCUAACUCUGUGCCAGCAGCCGCGGUAA